rnacentral:rRNA from 1 species
GAUGAACGCUGGCGGCGUGCCUAAUACAUGCAAGUCGAGCGAACAGACGAGGAGCUUGCUCCUCUGACGUUAGCGGCGGACGGGUGAGUAACACGUGGAUAACCUACCUAUAAGACUGGGAUAACUUCGGGAAACCGGAGCUAAUACCGGAUAAUAUAUUGAACCGCAUGGUUCAAUAGUGAAAGACGGUUUUGCUGUCACUUAUAGAUGGAUCCGCGCCGCAUUAGCUAGUUGGUAAGGUAACGGCUUACCAAGGCAACGAUGCGUAGCCGACCUGAGAGGGUGAUCGGGCACACUGGAACUGAGACACGGUCCAGACUCCGACGGGAGGCAGCAGUAGGGAAUCUUCCGCAAUGGGCGAAAGCUUGACGGAGCAACGCCGCGUGAGUGAUGAAGGUCUUCGGAUCGUAAAACUCUGUUAUUAGGGAAGAACAAAUGUGUAAGUAACUAUGCACGUCUUGACGGUACCUAAUCAGAAAGCCACGGCUAACUACGUG